rnacentral:lncRNA from 1 species
GAGUGGCCGCCAUUUCUGUUGUGUUGGUUUUGGUUGUUUUUUCGUGUUUUGUGGUUUUUUCUAGGGGUGUUUGUGUUUAGUUGGGUGUGGUUGUUUUAUUCCUGGUGUUGUUUUGGCUGAUGUUUGGGGAGUUUUGGCGUUGAUUUUCAGUUUUUUUUUCUGGGUUAAAUUCUAUUGAUUAAUCUUGUUUCCUGUAGGUAUUUGAUGAGAAGUCUAGUUAUUUCGUGCUUUGUUUGGCUUUCCAGUGUUGGGUUGAGGCCUAGGAGAUUGGUCUUUUGCUCGAGCAGUUUAGGGGCAUGCUCUGUUGUUUCUUCUUCUUCCAUACAUUCUUGGCAGAAUGGGCUUGUAUUGCUGUUGAAUCUGGCUAGGUGGUCAUUUAGACUAUUGCGUCCUGUUCUUAGUCUGAAUAGGAUCCUGAUGUUUUUUUAGGUGGGUGCUUUGCUCGUCCAAUGAGAGCUCGUUGGCCCGAAAAGCGAGCCGAAACGGAAAAAAAUUCGUCUCUCCAAAGUUGAAGCUUUCUAAACUUUUCGGCGCCGAAAAUCGACGGAAAGAUGGAAGACGAAAGCUGAAAACUGAACAGCCAGUCACAGCUUUCCAUUUUUGAUGCGCAAAUAAUUUUUGAUAUUUUGGCAACAUCAGCAAUGCCAAAUCUGUCUGAUGUCAUUCUGUCAACAAAUGGGUGUCGUGUGUUCCUCGUGAUUUCUUGCUGUUUUUAAUUGUUUUUCGAUUAGUUUCUGGAUAAAAAUGCCCAAAAGGAGGUAACCGAUGAAAUCUCCUAAUCUUGGAGUGAGCGCUGCGAGCAAACAAAUUACCAACGCGUAUUUGUUAAAUUUAUAAUUUCAAAACUGUGUUGCAAUGUGAUUGUCAUCGCUCAUACUUUUAUUAUUAUAAGGAAUGAAAAACGAGUUAAAAUGUGGUCAAAGGCAACGACUGAGAGAUUCAUCCAGUCUUUUGAAAAGCAGUCAGUUUUGUAUGACGUGACGAUAUCUGAUUAUAAAAACAAUGUGUCCCAAACUACAGCUAGAGCUGUCAUCGGAAGGGAAUUUUCCAUCAGUACUGACGACGUCAAAAAGAAAUUGAAGCAAUUGAAGGACACCUACAGGAAUGAAAAAAAAGGCUGAGUGAAGAGGAUCCAAGUGGCAGUGGUUUGAAUGGUUCCAAACGUGCGAAGAAGCGUUGGAUAUAUUUCGACCAAAUGGGAUUCCUGUCCACAGUGCAUGAUGAUGCCGGGUCACAAAUGUGGACGAUGAGGAUGAAGAAGGAAAACAAAACGAAUAUUUAGAGGAAGAAGUUCUUCUUGUAGGGGAGAGCGGGGUUGGAUGGGACAAAAAAAUUAACACCGAGUGUAACUUCCUAUAUCUUUUUAAAUAUACAGAGUUAGGAAAAUGUUUUAAA